rnacentral:rRNA from 1 species
CCAUGCCGCGUGUAUGAAGAAGGCCUUCGGGUUGUAAAGUACUUUCAGCAGUGAGGAAGGCGGAGUCGUUAAUAGCGGCCUCGUUUGACGUUAGCUGCAGAAGAAGCACCGGCUAACUCCGUGCCAGCAGCCGCGGUAAUACGGAGGGUGCGAGCGUUAAUCGGAAUUACUGGGCGUAAAGCGCAUGCAGGUGGUUUGUUAAGUCAGAUGUGAAAGCCCGGGGCUCAACCUCGGAAUUGCAUUUGAAACUGGCAGACUAGAGUACUGUAGAGGGGGUAGAAUUUCAGGUGUAGCGGUGAAAUGCGUAGAGAUCUGAAGGAAUACCGGUGGCGAAGGCGGCCCCCUGGACAGAUACUGACACUCAGAUGCGAAAGCGUGGGGAGCAAACAGGAUUAGAUACCCUGGUAG